rnacentral:rRNA from 1 species
GUGAAAGCCCUGGGCUCAACCUGGGAACUGCAUUGGAUACUGGCAAGCUAGAGUGCGGUAGAGGGUGGUGGAAUUCCCGGUGUAGCAGUGAAAUGCGUAGAGAUCGGGAGGAACAUCGGCGGCGAAGGCGGCUCUCUGGAAUGAUACUGACGCUGAGGCACGAAAGUUGGGGGAGCAAACAGGAUUAGAUACCCUGGUAGUCCCAACCGUAAACGGUGUGCACUUGGUGUAGGUUGGUUAUCCCAAUCUGUGCCGGAGCUAACGUGUUAAGUGCACCGCCUGGGGAGUACGGUCGCAAGGCUAAAACUCAAAGGAAUUGACGGGGGCCCGCACAAGCGGUGGAGCAUGUGGUUUAAUUCGACGCAACGCGAAGAACCUUACCUGGGCUUGACAUCCCGAUCGUACCUGCUGGAAACAGCGGGGUCAGUUCGGCUGGAUC